GGAGAGGUGCUCGAGUGGUUGAAGAGGCACGCCUGGAAAGCGUGUAUACCCCUAAAGGGUAUCGGGGGUUCGAAUCCCUCCCUCUCCG
rnacentral:tRNA from 1 species